UGAUCUGGCUCAGAAUGAACGUUGGCGGCGUGGAUUAGGCAUGCAAGUCGAGCGAGAAGUUUUAAAAAGAUACCUCGGUUGAUUUUUAAAAUGGACAGCGGCGAAAGGGAGAGUAACGAGUAGAUACGUACCCAAGGGUCCGGAAUAGCAGGGGGAAACCGCUGGUAAUGCCGGAUAAUGUUUCCGAACCAAAGAUUUAUUGCCCUCGGAUCGGUCUGCUUACUAUUAGCUUGUUGGUGGGGUAACGGCCUACCAAGGCUCAGAUGGUUAGCGGGUGUGAGAGCAUGGCCCGUCUCACUGGGACUGAGACACUGCCCAGACACCUACGGGUGGCUGCAGUCGANAAUCUUCCGCAAUGGACGAAAGUCUGACGGAGCGACGCCGCGUGCGGGAUGAAGGCCCUCGGGUUGUAAACCGCUGUCAUAGGGGAGGAAAUUUUGACCGAUCCUAAGAGGAAGCGCAGGCUAAGUUCGUGCCAGCAGCCGCGGUAAUACGAACUGUGCAAACGUUAUUCGGAAUCACUGGGCUUAAAGGGUGCGU
rnacentral:rRNA from 2 species